UACGUAGGGGGCUAGCGUUGUCCGGAAUCAUUGGGCGUAAAGCGCGCGUAGGCGGCCCAGUAAGUCCGUUGUAAAAGUCAAAGGCUCAACCUUUGAAAGCCGAUGGAUACUGCUGGGCUAGAGUCCGGAAGAGGCGAGUGGAAUUCCUGGUGUAGCGGUGAAAUGCGCAGAUAUCAGGAGGAACACCGAUGGCGAAGGCAGGUCUCUGGGCAUUAACUGACGCUGAGGAGCGAAAGCAUGGGGAGCGAACAGG
rnacentral:rRNA from 1 species